AACAGUUGGAGGCAAGAGUCAACGGCUUGACUGGAUUUUAAGGUCUUUGGGCUUUCAGCCUCUUCCACACCAAUCAGCUUCGACUACAGCUCAAAAUUCCCGAGCUCAGGUGAUCUCUUGGCCCAUACCUCUCCAGUAGUAGGCACUAUAGUUCACUUGAUCUAGACCAUCCUUGGUGAUUUGUUGAAAGAAAAGAUCUCAAAAUGUCACUGAAAAGGUACAGACUGACAUCUGACAUUAAGUGGGACUUAAAAGGAUUAUCUAACUCUAAGUCAGAGGGAACCCUGGAAAGAGACAAUGCUCUUGGUGAUCAAAAAAAGAUUUUUAAAAAGAGGAAGGCUGUGCAGCUUGCAUCUACAUACUCUAGAAAAACCUGGAAGUUCACAACAAACAAACACAGGUAUCCCAUAUUUUAGGGGUUAGAUGCUCCAUGCCCCCGCAGUCUGGAAAAUCCACAUAAAAUUUUUGGACCUUCCCUUCAUACCAGAGAAGAAGUCUACAUUUUUUUCUUUUUCUUUCUUGGGGUGAUUAGAGUACCUUAUGAUAAAAUGUGGGUUAUUUCGCAUAAACUAUAUGUAACACUA